CUACGGGCCGCUGCAGUGGGGAAUAUUGCACAAUGGGCGCAAGCCUGAUGCAGCCAUGCCGCGUGUAUGAAGAAGGCCUUCGGGUUGUAAAGUACUUUCAGCGGGGAGGAAGGGAGUAAAGUUAAUACCUUUGCUCAUUGACGUUACCCGCAGAAGAAGCACCGGCUAACUCCGUGCCAGCAGCCGCGGUAAUACGGAGAGUGCAAGCGUUAAUCGGAAUUACUGGGCGUAAAGCGCACGCAGGCGGUUUGUUAAGUCAGAUGUGAAAUCCCGGGCUCAACCUGGGAACUGCAUCUGAUACUGGGAAGCUUGGGGCUCGGAGGGGGGGGUAUAAUUCCAGGUGUAGCGGUGAAAUGCGUAGAGAUCUGGAGAAAUACCGGUGGCGAAGGCGGCCCCCUGGACGAAGACUGACGCUCAGGUGCGAAAGCGUGGGGAGCAAACAGGAUUAGAUACCCGGGUAGUC
rnacentral:rRNA from 1 species